GACGAACGCUGGCGGCGUGCUUAACACAUGCAAGUCGAACGGAAAGGCCCUGCUUGCAGGGUACUCGAGUGGCGAACGGGUGAGUAACACGUGGGUGAUCUGCCCUGCACUUCGGGAUAAGCUUGGGAAACUGGGUCUAAUACCGGAUAGGAGCCAUCUUUAGUGUGGUGGUUGGAAAGUUUUUUCGGUGUAGGAUGAGCUCGCGGCCUAUCAGCUUGUUGGUGGGGUAAUGGCCUACCAAGGCGGCGACGGGUAGCCGGCCUGAGAGGGUGUACGGCCACAUUGGGACUGAGAUACGGCCCAGACUCCUACGGGAGGCAGCAGUGGGGAAUAUUGCACAAUGGGCGCAAGCCUGAUGCAGCGACGCCGCGUGGGGGAUGAAGGCCUUCGGGUUGUAAACUCCUGUCGCUAGGGACGAAGCUUUUUUGUGACGAUACCUAGAGAAGAAGCACCGGCUAACUACGUG
rnacentral:rRNA from 1 species